ensembl:snRNA U6 U6 spliceosomal RNA
UUGCUCACUUUGGCAGCACAUUUACUAAAACAGGAAUGAUUCAGAGAAGAUUAGCAUGGCCCCUGUCAACAAUGACAUUCAAAUUUGUGAAGCAUUCCAUAUUGAA